GACGAACGCUGGCGGCGUGCUUAACACAUGCAAGUCGAACGAUGAAGCCGGAGCUUGCUCCGGUGGAUUAGUGGCGAACGGGUGAGUAACACGUGAGCAAUCUGCCCUUGACUCUGGGAUAACUGCGGGAAACUGUAGCUAAUACCGGAUACGACACCUUGGGGCAGCCCAGGGAGUGGAAAGACUUUCGGGCAAGGAUGAGCUCGCGGCCUAUCAGCUAGUUGGUGAGGUAAUGGCUAACCAAGGCGACGACGGGUAGCCGGCCUGAGAGGGUGACCGGCCACACUGGAACGGAGACACGGUCCAGACUCCUACGGGAGGCAGCAGUGGGGAAUAUUGCACAAUGGGCGAAAGCCUGAUGCAGCAACGCCGCGUGAGGGAUGAAGGCCUUCGGGUUGUAAACCUCUUUUAGCAGGGAAGAAGCGAAAGUGACGGUACCUGCAGAAAAAGCACCGGCUAACUACGUGCCAGCAGCCGCCGUAA
rnacentral:rRNA from 1 species